GACCCCAACUCAGGCGAGGCUAGCCGUUAAGUUUAAGCAUAUCAACAAGCGGAGAAAAAGAAACUAACAAGGAUUCUCCUAGUAAUUGUGAGCGAAUCGGGAAGAGCC
rnacentral:rRNA from 1 species